rnacentral:misc_RNA from 1 species
GCUACUUGUCUUGUAUCAACCAAACCCCUAGUCCAAGUCACACAACCAUUGCCAGUACCAUUGACAUCCAACUUCGCAUAAGCCAGGCAAGAGCAGUUCCUCAAGCAGUUCUCCUUACAGUCUUCGACACUCGUACUUACACUCACCCAGUACUCUGAUGCAUCUGGCAGUUUUAUUCCAGUUAAUUUUAUAAAUCCUUCAUUUCCACAAACAUGUG